UUUUAUUGUCCAAUUUAGAGGUUCCACUCUUCAGCAUCUUCAAAAUAGUGGGGAAUGUGGAAGCCUUUAGCAAUCAUGUCCCCAGAGAGCUCCACGAGUUGCAAAAUGAGGCCUUGAGGAUUUCAUGUGGCUCUGUCAUCAGUUGCUUAAGGUGUUAAGCGAAGCAUGCAGACAUUAGGCAAAUCUGGCUCCCCCCCCAUUGACUUUGCUCAUCAGAAGUCAGCUGGGAAGUUUACAAAUGGUGAUCAUAUGACCCCGGGACCUGCAACUGUCAUAAAUACAUGCCAGAUGCCAAGUGCCCGAAUUCUGAGAUGCUGCAAUGAACAUUAAUUUGAAAAGUGGACAUAUGUCACUUUUUUCAAUGGUGUUGCAACUUCAAAUGGUCACUCAGCGAACGAUUGCAAGUCAAGGACUACUUCUGCAACAGCUGGAUUAUGGACAGUCUUCACAAAGCAAAGCUCAAAGGCUUUUAUGGACAUAGAACGUGGUUUACAAAAAUACGAUUAUAUACACUGGUAGCAUAAAACAAAAAACAAAAAGUGCCAGAUCAAAAUACAUGAUUUCAACCCCUUCUAGAUGGCAGUCGAGAGGAAGCUCGCCAACACCAAAGGCAAUUUGUUCCAUACGGUAUAUAAACCCUGCCAUGGAAAAAUGAUGGUCAUAUUAUAAUUAUUUCUGUUGCUGAAGCUAUUUUUUGCUUGUCUUUGUUGUUGUGUUUCCUUUUUUUAUGUUCUAAUUGCUCUGUAGGCAGCUCAGAGAAUUAAUGUUAUUCAGUGAUUCAGAUGUACGGAUGGCUUCCUUUGAAAUGAAUUCGGAAGUGACACUUGUUCCUGAUUGCUUCAGCCUUUGAUCCAUCCAGCUGUGGCUUGAUCCAGAGAGAUGGGACUUUUCAGUGGCUGCCCUCAGCUCUGCACUCCCUUCCAAGGGGGUGGGGGCGUUAUUUCCCUUAUUAAUAAUCUUUAACUAAUUAAAGACUUUAACUUUUGGAAGACUUUGAUAGUAUAAUUUUUAUCAGCAUGUUUACUGUUCUUUUUCUGUUAGUUUAGUCAGUCAGAGAUUUUACUGAUCUCAUAUCUAGAAUUCUAAGAUGAUUGGUGACAUAUAGAUAUUAAAUAAUACAUAACAUGUAACAUGUAACUUUAGUUUACCCACAAACUGGCAACCCUCCAGAUACAUGGACUUCAACUCCCAGAAUUCCCUAGCAACUGUGGUUCUUACUGAGGAUUCUAGAUUUAUAGUCCAUGCAUCAGAGGGAUGCCCCAUUUCAAAUAUGCUAUGAUGAUAGGAUGAAUAAAUAAUUAUAUGGCAUAUUUUUGCAAUGCAUGCAAUAGUGGAAGAUUACAUUUGUUUUCCUAAUAAAGUAGCAAAAUCUUCUUGGAAUUAUACAAAAA